rnacentral:rRNA from 1 species
CCUACGGGGGGCUGCAGUGGGGAAUAUUGGACAAUGGGGGCAACCCUGAUCCAGCCAUGCCGCGUGCGUGAAGAAGGCCCUCGGGUUGUAAAGCACUUUCAGUGAGGAAGAACGCCUGGUGGUUAAUACCCAUCAGGAAAGACAUCACUCACAGAAGAAGCACCGGCUAACUCCGUGCCAGCAGCCGCGGUAAUACGGAGGGUGCGAGCGUUAAUCGGAAUUACUGGGCGUAAAGCGCGCGUAGGUGGCUUGAUAAGCCGGUUGUGAAAGCCCCGGGCUCAACCUGGGAACGGCAUCCGGAACUGUCAAGCUAGAGUGCAGGAGAGGAAGGUAGAAUUCCCGGUGUAGCGGUGAAAUGCGUAGAGAUCGGGAGGAAUACCAGUGGCGAAGGCGGCCUUCUGGACUGACACUGACACUGAGGUGCGAAAGCGUGGGUAGCAAACAGGAUUAGAUACCCCUGUAGUC